rnacentral:rRNA from 1 species
UACGUAGGGGGCUAGCGUUGUCCGGAUUUAUUGGGCGUAAAGAGCGUGUAGGCGGCCAUGUAGGUCCGGUGUGAAAACUCGAGGCUUAACCUCGAGAUGUCAUCGGAAACCAUUUGGCUAGAGUCCGGAAGAGGAGAGUGGGAAUUCCUGGUGUAGCGGUGAAAUGCGCAGAUAUCAGGAAGAACACCAAUGGCGAAAGCAGCUCUCGUGGGACGGUACUGACGCUGAGACGCGAAAGCGUGGGGAGCGAAACAGG